rnacentral:misc_RNA from 1 species
UUGGGUUGGUAAAUUUUCAGUUUUAGUCCCUGAAAGGGACCUAGGUCAAACUGCCAGAAUCUGAACACUAACCUAUCCGAAUUGUAACUUGGUUCUAGUAAUUCAAACACACGAUAAAAUGGUUCUAAUUGACCAUUUCUCAACUCAAUUAAGGUCAAUUGCAUCAAUUGACCAAUUUCCCCAAUUUUUUCCAAAUUUUCAAAUUGCUCAAGAACCCUAAUUAUAAAAUCUUGGAAUUUAAUGCAAUUAACUUACAUAUUCAUUGUCUACACCUCUAAUUCACCUAAAUUAACUAUUUAAUUUCAUCAAAAUCACUCAAUUCACACUCCCUUGAUGGCUGGCCGAAUUCCCAAUCAAUCCCCCAACAAUUGCUUUCUUUAAAUUUUAAGUUAAUAUCUAAGUUACUUGAGCUAAACACACAACUAAUAAACCAAAAUUUUCAAAUUACAUGACUUACCUCCACUUGAAUUUCAAUUCUCCUAUUUCUUUCCUUGUCUCCCUUUCUUUCCUUCUUAAACCUUCUUGUUAAUGGUGAUUUAGGAGUUUUUGAGGGUUUAGGGUUGAAACUUAUGGAACACAAUCAAGAAAUUCAAGCUUUAAAAGGUUGUUAAUGGAGGUUGGCUAUGGAGAUCUUCAAGAGAGAGAGGGGCUGCCGAUUUCAUGAAGAAAGAAUAGUGACUUUUUUUCUUUUAAUUUUAUGUAUUUGUCUUCUUUAAACAAUUUUUGACUUGGUCAAUAUUGGUGGGUAAUAAAAAAAAAUCAAUUAUGAUGUCAUAAAGGUGAGAUAAGCAUGAUGUAAUAACUUUUUAAAUUUUCUUUUUUUUUUGCAUUUAUUUUUCCAUUGGUUCUUUAAUUUAAUUCUCGAUUUUAAAAUUUUCUUUUCUCCGAUUUUAU